GAGAUUUUAUACUUUUAACAGAUACAUGGAUAGACUAGUUUGAACUUAAUAAAUUUCUUUUUCUCCCUGUAAGCAGAGCCUAAUUAACCUUCAUGACUUGAGAUGGCAUAUCACCGGGCGCGCCAAAAUUGCUCGUCCUCUUCACAACUCACGACCCCUGGAAUCCAAGAUGAAAUCACGUUGGCUAACUGUGAUCAGCUAGUCAGAAUUAGAUUGAAAUAGGUUCAUGGUGCUUGGGUAACAAAGAGGAGCAACCUGUAGUAUUACAACCUUAUUGUCAGGAACACAAGCUGUCCAAAUUUCUGUGUAAAUCUGUCCAAUUCAGUAUUUCACUUUCAUCAUUUUAGAUAUGAAAUCCAGACAUAUACAAAUGUUGAUUGGUUUUGUCCGCUGUAUGGAGUCUUGCUUCUCUAUAUUGCCUAAGAUAGUAAAAGAAAGUUAGUUCCUAUAAUGCACUUUUAUUAAUUACUUUGUGGUUUUUUUUUCUUAGUUAUGUUGUGAAACAGUUAAGAGUCUAGCUGGCAAGUUCACUAGGAAAGCUCUAAUUUAGCAGUUCCUUUUUAGUCAGGAGGACUUUUCUAAAAGAUGGCUUCUAAUCAUCUUGCUUCCGGGCAAUGGUGUCAUUUCAAAGCGUUUGGUUGAAAGAUGAAGAAAACAAAUCAUCAACUAUACUAAAGGUCAUAUACAUAAUUGUCCAUGCUUUUAGUAGAAGCAGUCUUUAAUUGCAUCGUUUUCUGACAAAUCUCAUCCUUUAACUAGAUCAUUGUUGUUAUCUAGGCUCAUUACUAUCAGUGCUUCUGGGUUACUUGUUCCUUUCAAUGGUUGAUCUCUCUGCUCAAUCACAAGCAACAAACUAACAAUCUUGUGCUUUGUUUUGGGCCUUUUGGCAUUGCUGUUCAAUCAAUGUGUUAGAAUCCAACCUUCCUUGCAUCGUACUUUUCUUAUUUUCCCUUGUAUUGAUCUUAUCUAAACUUUCUAGGACUUUUUUUUUGAAGUUUCUAGGCUUUAGAUAAGAUUAUUAUGUUACUGUCAUUCCAGUGUUCACUGCCAGUUUUUAGCUAAUUCAAAAUAAUCCUCUAUGAGGGGUAUGACUCAAUACCUCUCACCAGAAGUUGCCUUUGCUUAAUCACUAGCGUUGGUUGUAUGCCUUUUUAGAUAUUGUGCUGUCGCUCGUUUUUAAGCUUUCUUGGCUCAACAAAGUCCCACAAACAGAUACACUCGCGUCGUCGGCCCCACUUGUGACUGCUAUGCUCACACAAGUGCCCGAUCGGCGCCCGCGUCCCUUUCUUGUCGCCAAAAGACAAGAGCGGUAAUUCUCAGAAACCUUGCUUGCUCGUGCUUCACGAGCCCCUUUGAACUCGUUCCGCACAAGGCUUGCGCCCCUACCGCUCACUAGGUACGAGCGUGCCGCACGAUCCGGUGCCCAAAACAUCCGGACCGUGACACAAUGGCUGUUUUUCUUCAACCAUCUGGUUUCUUUCCCCAGUGUAAUUAUAUUAGGAAAAGUUUUCCUAUAUGACACUAGCUAUAUUCCGGGUGCAGGAGUAUCUCCCUAGAGCGGGUUUACAUGUCAACCAACUGAACUAUAGUUUGGUAUGCCCAACCACUGUUGAUUCUGUCAGAUCCCCACCUGUCCAUCCAUCUUACCCUCCCCUCCCCUCCCAUCCUUGCCCAACCAUAUCCAGAAAAAAACUGAAAGAUCGAUUGGGGUUCGACAAAAAUUUAGCAGAUCCAAGUUUCCAACAUUCUGUUGUCUGUACAACCAGUGUACAUUGCACACUUGCUGGUACUGCUCCCUGCACCAAAAUAGUUGGUGUCAUAUAGGCCAAAAGUGCCUUUUUACCUUGUAUACUGUUCUGGAUAGUUGCAAGAUAUAAAAUUUUAAGCCAAAUGUUGAUUUCAAGGAUUCUAGUAUGUUUUCUUAUAAUGACAAAUCUUUGUUCUUCAACUGUCUUGUUUGUUGAAAUUAGAUGUUUCUGCAGGCUGAUUUUUUUAAUCGAUGAAAGUUCAUUCUGCAAACUGGGAUUAACUUUAUGUCAUCCUUGACUGUACAGAGUUCUAUCACGUUUUUUCUCUAAUAAGAAUACUGAAUAUUGAUACUCUUAUUGCUUCUGGCUGAUGAUAUUUUUUUUAUUUCCUUUGGCUUGUAAUCAAGAGAUUGAAUUCGUUGUCGACUUGCCAUUUCGGUACAUCUUUCAAGAUGACAAGAGUAAUAUGAACAUCAACAUGGACUGUGUAACACAAAUGGUGCUGAACUUGAACUUGGGAUAUGUCAUGCUGCCAUCAAUGUCCUACCUUCCCAUGUGCCAAUGAUUGAUGAGAUUGAAUUGGUUUGAAGCUUGUUACUCUUCAAAUUUUAUAUUUUUUCACAGUAACCACAGCUUGCAUUGCAUCAUUAAAGAUGAUUUAUUGAAUCUUUACAGCUUGGCUAAAAUGAAUUCUGAUCUUGCUUCUCUACUGAUCAAACUUUUUACCAGAUUUCUUACUCAAGCACUAGUUUACGUCUGUUAUGUGCUUUAGAAAAGUAUUGUUGAUGUCAAAUAAGCUGUUUUACGAGACCUUUCCAUGAGUUUCCAGAAUCAGAAUCAUUUGAUCAGCAUUCAUUUGCAUCUUAUUAACUUUUUCUCGUUAUGUGACGAUCUAAUGUGUGAUUGACUUGAUUAUCUGCUUAAUUAAGUAUUCUACAAUUGCUCAUUAUGUUUGUAGCUGUUGAAUGUUAAUUUAGGGAGUUUACUGGGUAAGAAUGUUUGGUCAUUAUGUUUGUAGCUGUUGAAUGUUGAUCCUGUGCUGUCACUUAUUUAAGGUCAAAUGUGAAAUGGAAAUGCAUUUUUAACUCUACGGUUUGCUCUGUACUAAUUUAUUUGCCAUAUUUGCCCAUAUCAUUGGAGACAAAUACUUGAAUACGAUCCUUCGAAUAUAUGUAAAGAAAUUUUGGAUCAAAAACCCUAGAAUACAGCCCUAGCCCUACUGGAUAAAAGCCCGAAACAACGGCGCAUCCUGGUUCAUGUUUUGUGGAUUCCUGGAAUGUGCCGGUGGGAGUAUCAUUCUUUAUGCUCUGAGGUGGUUGCAAUAGUUUGCGAACCUAAAAUCUUUGAAACUGUUACAUAGAUGAUACACAAUCAGAUUAUCAGAACAGCAUCUUUAAAAUAAGGAGUAUCAUUCUUUAUGCUCUGAGGCGCUUGCAAUAAUUUGAGCCUAAAAUAUUUGUAACUGUAUAUAGAUGAUACACAAUCAGAAGAGCAUCUUUGAAAAAUAUGCUGCAACUUUGUACAAUAUUUGCUUCUUUUUUUCGUUUCUAUUUACAGUCAAACAUGUAUAAUUCCAUUGAUUUUGAAAUUCUUGUGUUCAAACAUCUAGUCUGCAGAAAAUGAGGGGUUGCCAUCAGAGCAUGUUCUAAGAUAGACAACAGAUGCUUAUAACUGGUGAUAAGUUAUAAUCGUGCAGCGCCAGUCUAACAAUUGGCUUCUGCUGCAGGCAUGUUCUAAAGAGACUCAUGUCUGGUUUAAAGUGAAGGUUAUGCUGCAGGUACAUAACAUGAAGAACAAAUUCUUUUUUGGAAAGCCAAGUUUAUCUGAAUCAAGGGAAUUGAAUAGGAAAGAGAAAAACUGAUAGGGACUAGGGAGUUUUCAAACCCAGAAAGUGAAAUGUUUUUGGCUUUUUUGUGAUUGAUGACUAAUUAUUCUCUUAGAAUAUAUUUGAAAGAAAGUUGAUCUAUUUCAAAAUCUCCUAAACUUGAAGGUCCCCUCUUUGCAGCAGUCUAAAGUUGAGCUUGUGGGUUUUCCUCCCUAUUUCUGUUCUACCAUUAUGCUUUUUUACUUUGUUCUUGAUUCCUUGUGCCCCCCCUCUUUUCUUUGGAGGAAACCCCUAUCCAAUUUGUUUUUCCUACAAAGGAUUUGAUAUUAGUAUAGGU